UAAAGUCAAGUCUAAAACAGCCAAAUUCCUGAAAUUUCACCAACUCCGCUGAAACGCCUAAGUCCGAAACCUCUAGUUUUUGGCAAACUUUGGCUCGAGAUAUCUACAAACCCUUUCAAAAUCUGAGAAAAUACCUUUAAUAAAGUUUGAACUACGAUCAUUGUACUACAAGUUUGCUUAAGGGGUAUUCGAACGUUUAGUUUA
rnacentral:lncRNA from 1 species